GGUUUCCGUAGGUGACCUGCGGAAGGAU
rnacentral:ncRNA from 2 species